AUUGAACGCUGGCGGCAGGCCUAACACAUGCAAGUCGAACGAGUGGCGGACGGGUGAGUAAUGUCUGGGAAACUGCCUGAUGGAGGGGGAUAACUCCUGGAAACGGUAGCUAAUACCGCAUACCAUCAGAUGUUCCCCGAUGGUAUUAGCUAGUUGGUGGGGGAACGGCUCACCAAGGCGACGAUCCCUCGCUGGUCUGAGAGGAGGACCAGCCACCAUGGAACUGAGCCACGGUCCAGACUCCGACGGGAGGCAGCAGUGGGGAAUAUUGCACAAUGGGCGCAAGCCUGAUGCAGCCAUGCCGCGUGUAUGAAGAAGGCCUUCGGGUUGUAAAGUACUGUCAGCGGGGAGGCGUUACCCGCAGAAGAAGCACCGGCUAACGCCGUGCCAGCAGCCGCGGUAAUUC
rnacentral:rRNA from 1 species